UCCCAAGGCGCUUGAGAGAACCCUGCUUAAGGAACUCGCAAAAUGACACCGUAACUUCGGGAGAAGGUGUGCCCUCUGUACGUGAAGCCCCUUGCGGGUGGAGCGGAAGAGGGUUGCAGAGAAACGGGGGUAGCGACUGUUUACCAAAAACCCAGCACUGUGCGAAGUCGGAAGACAACGUAUACGGUGUGAUGCCUGCCCGGUGCCGGAAGGUUAAGGGGAGUUGUCAGCCGCAAGGCAAAGCAGCGAACCGAAGCCCCGGUAAACGGCGGCCGUAACAAUAACGGUCCUAAGGUAGCGAAAUUCCUUGUCGGGUAAGUUCCGACCUGCACGAAUGGCAUAACGACUUCCCCACUGUCUCGAGCAGGGACUCGGCGAAGUAGCACUAGGGGUGAAGAUACCCUUUACCCGCGGCAGGACGGAAAGACCCCGUGAACCUUUACUGUAACUUGGCACUGAACUUCGGGUUCGUUUGCGUAGGAUAGGUGGGACGCUAGGAAGCAUGGACUCCGGUCUGUGUGGAGCGGCCGUUGAAAUACCACCCUGACGAAUCUGGAGUUCUAACCUGCACCCGUGAGCCGGGUGGGGGACAAUGCCUGGUGGGCAGUUUGACUGGGGCGGUCGCCUCCCAAAGAGUAACGGAGGCGCGCGAAGGUUCCCUCAGGCUGAUUGGAAACCAGCCGACGAGUGUAAUGGCAUAAGGGAGCUUGACUGCGAGACUGACAAGUCGAGCAGGUGCGAAAGCAGGUCAUAGUGAUCCGGUGGUUCUGAAUGGAAGGGCCAUCGCUCAACGGAUAAAAGGUACUCCGGGGAUAACAGGCUUAUCACGCCCAAGAGUUCACAUCGACGGCGUGGUUUGGCACCUCGAUGUCGGCUCAUCGCAUCCUGGGGCUGAAGUUGGUCCCAAGGGUUUGGCUGUUCGCCAAUUAAAGCGGUACGCGAGCUGGGUUCAAAACGUCGUGAGACAGUUUGGUCCCUAUCCGCCGUGGGCGCAGGACGCUUGAGAGGAUCUGUCCUUAGUACGAGAGGACCGGGAUGGACGGACCGCUAGUGUUCCGGUUGUGGCGCCAGCUGCAAUGCCGGGUAGCUAUGUUCGGAAGGGAUAACCGCUGAAAGCAUCUAAGCGGGAAGCCCACCUCGAGAUAAGGCGUCCCUGAGACUUCGGUCUCCUGAAGACCCCAUGUAGACCACGUGGUUGAUAGGCUGGGUGUGGAAGCGCUGCAAGGCGCGGAGCUAACCAGUACUAAUCGGUCGUGAGGCUUGACCAC
rnacentral:rRNA from 1 species